rnacentral:rRNA from 1 species
UACAGAGGUCCCGAGCGUUGUUCGGAUUCACUGGGCGUAAAGGGUGCGUAGGUGGCGAGGUAAGUCGGAUGUGAAAUCUCGGAGCUCAACUCCGAAACUGCAUUGGAAACUACCUGGCUAGAGGUUUGGAGGGGGGACUGGAAUGCUUGGUGUAGCAGUGAAAUGCGUAGAUAUCGGGAGGAACACCAAUUGCGAAGGCAGCUCGCUGGGACGUUACUGACGCUGAGACGCGAAAGCGUGGGGAGCGAACGAGGA